AUCCAGCUGACGAGUCUCAAAUAUGACGAAACAAGUGUCUUAAAU
rnacentral:hammerhead_ribozyme from 1 species